rnacentral:lncRNA from 1 species
UGGUAUCCCAGGGGCAUAAGCCUAUCAUGGGUCGAUCCCAGUUGAUAUGUACUGGAGGCAGCCUAAUGGUCACAGUACAGUACAGUAAUAAUUACAAAGAUGAUAAGAACGAAGGUAAAGUGACUGAAUAUAUACAAUUUACAGGUUGUCACAAGUUCAAGUAAGUGUUGUCCACUCCUAUUACGAUUUAUUCACUUGUUUCUAAUUUCUAUUGAGCUCCUAUAUCAUAUGUGAUUAUAUACAGCUUU